rnacentral:rRNA from 9 species
CGUCACACUAUCAUUAACUGAAUCCAUAGGUUAAUGAGGCGAACCGGGGGAACUGAAACAUCUAAGUACCCCGAGGAAAAGAAAUCAACCGAGAUUCCCCCAGUAGCGGCGAGCGAACGGGGAGGAGCCCAGAGCCUGAAUCAGCAUGUGUGUUAGUGGAAGCGUCUGGAAAGGCGCGCGAUACAGGGUGACAGCCCCGUACACAAAAGCGCAUGUGCUGUGAGCUCGAUGAGUAGGGCGGGACACGUGGUAUCCUGUCUGAAUAUGGGGGGACCAUCCUCCAAGGCUAAAUACUCCUGACUGACCGAUAGUGAACCAGUACCGUGAGGGAAAGGCGAAAAGAACCCCGGCGAGGGGAGUGAAAAAGAACCUGAAACCGU